GACGAACGCUGGCGGCGUGCCUAACACAUGCAAGUGGAGCGACGAACCAGACUUCGGUCUGGGGCCAAGCCGCGAACGGGUGAGUAACACGUGGGUAACCUGCCCCGAUGAUCGGGACAACCCGGGGAAACCCGGGCUAAUACCGAAUGUGGUCGCAGUCCGUGAGGACGGUGACGAAAGGAAGCUUCGGCCUCCGCAUCGGGAUGGGCCCGCGGCCCAUUAGCUUGUUGGUGGGGUAAUGGCCUACCAAGGCAUCGAUGGGUAGCUGGUCUGAGAGGACGAUCAGCCACACUGGGACUGAGACACGGCCCAGACUCCUACGGGAGGCAGCAGUGGGGAAUCUUGCGCAAUGCGCGAAAGCGUGACGCAGCAACGCCGCGUGGGGGAAGAAGGCUUUCGGGUCGUAAACCCCUUUCAGUUGGGACGAAGCUUCGCCGGUGAAUAGCCGGCCGGAGUGACGGUACCUUCACAAGAAGCCCCGGCUAACUACGUGCCAGCAGCCGCAGUAAUAC
rnacentral:rRNA from 1 species